UGACAGAGAGAGAGAGCACAAGCAAGAAAAGCAGCAGAGGGCGAGGGAGAGGCAGACUCCCCACUGAGCAGAGAGCCUGAUGUGGGGUAGGUCCCAGGACCUGAGCUGAUGGCAGAGGGCCAAAGUCUGAGCCACCAAGGCACCCCAGACUAGACCUCAGUCUAGUCUGUGUCCUAACUGUAAGAUUUUCAUUGUACUGGAAACUCCAUAAAGCUGAUUGCCUUCUGGAUACGUCCCACCUCCUGCACACCUCAGCACAGCCAUUCCUGAGAUCAGGAAGAAGCAAGGUCUCCCUACAGGUGGUAAAGAAGAAGACCAGUAGACCCUAGAACAGGAAAAGUGGCCUGUUUUGUCCCCUUUGCCCAGAGUGUGCUGCCACUGGAUAAGUUCCUCUCACUCCCCAAGGCCCACGUCAAAUGCUACCUCCCCUUAGAAGGAUUCUCUGAUCCUCCCGCUGCUUGCACCUCCCUGGAGACCCUUGUCACCAACUGAGAUACUCCUACAGUGGGUUGAAAGGAGCACUCAACUUUCAAGGAAACUUGGAGUUGGGGGCUUGGCAGUUGCCAGCAGUCUGACCUUAGGAAGAUCAUUACCCCUUGGAACCUCACACCGAUCGUUUCAUUCGUCACCUGGAAGAGAGGAUGACAAAGCCUACCACGAAGGACAUGCAACGCAUCCUCCUCUUACCAGCUCAGAGUCUGUCUGCAAAGCUAUGGAGAUCUGUCUCUCUCCAUUUUUCUGCCUCACGACUGAGCCUCUGCCUCUCUGACCCCCGCCAAUACAGAUGGGGAUACAGAGGCCCAGAGAAAGCCUGGAACGCUGAGACUGGGAGGAGCCUUAGGUCCUUAGUGCUCCAAGUCUGGACCAUGCGCCAGCAGCCUCGGGCCCCUGGAGGGGCUUGGAGAAAGGCGGCGUUUCAGUCCUUGCCCCAGACCUACUGGACUGGCAUGUGCCUUUGAACAAGAUCUCAGGUGAUGUAAAGUUUGAGAGCACUGUGUCAGCAGAUAGCUGAGUGUGUGGGUUUCACAUAGAGCCAGCCAGAGCGCAGACGGAGGCUUGGCUCCCCUGCUCACCCGC
rnacentral:lncRNA from 1 species